CCUACGGGAGGCAGCAGUGGGGAAUAUUGGACAAUGGGCGCAAGCCUGAUCCAGCCAUGCCGCGUGUGUGAUGAAGGCCCUAGGGUCGUAAAGCUCUUUCGCCUGUGAAGAUAAUGACGGUAGCAGGUAAAGAAACCCCGGCUAACUCCGUGCCAGCAGCCGCGGUAAU
rnacentral:rRNA from 1 species